rnacentral:lncRNA from 1 species
AUAGGGAAGGGGGAGAGUGUAAGGGAAAGAUAACAAGUCUGUUGCAGUUCAACCCUCUUAUUUUACAGAUAAGGAGGAAAGGGAUCCCACUGAGUUGAAAUGACUUGUACAAGGCUACAAAGGCUUUACCAGAAUGCUGCCAAAGGUUCCCAUGGCAGAGAAAAAGAGACACUGUUUUCCCCAAUGACAUAUCCGUGGAAGCUCCUGGAAGGCAGAGACGAUUUAAUUUUCAUCUCUAUCCUCUGAUUAUAUACUACAUGCUUAGUAAAUGAUGUUUGAUCUUUUCUUGGGGUUUGGAUGCUGCUUUUCUUCUCCACUUCAUACUAUCAGACAACUUUCUCAACCAACCUGACCCUCUCCAAGGGUUCCCAAGUUUCCUUAUCCUCUGGUGGGGAGAAAUUGUUUAGAGGUUUGUUAAACUUUUAAGAAACCAGUUCUAUGUAAAAAGAAUUUUAGAAAGAAUGUUAACACUGUUUUGGAAUUUCAUUUCUUCUCUUGAUCAAGAGUUCAAAAAUGCUAUCUUGUUUAUUAUUGCUUCUGGCGGGGCCACAGACCCAUAGUCUAUAGGAAUGGAUGUUUUUGUCUUUAGUUAGAUGGAAUACAAAAUUGAGAAAAGACAAGAAAAGUCACUGGUUUCUGUUUCAAUACCAUGUAUCGAUUCCAAGGCAGAAGAGCGGAAAGGGGUAGUUAAGUGACUUUCUCACAGCUGGGAAGUGUUGGGGGCCCUAUUUGAACCCAGGACUUCCCAUCCCCUGGGCCUGGCUCUCCAUCCACUGAGCCAGCUAGCUGCACCCUGUCUUGUUUUAAUAAUUCUUUGGUACUUAAAGGGAUAAGAUGAUCUGUUCAUUUGAUCCACUGAGCACUGAUGGUGUGCCUCUUAGGUCCAGGCAGAUGUUAGUGGCUUCCCCUUCCUGACCAUCCCCUGUCCCUUUCUUUGUCGUCACCCUCCAGCCUCUAGGGCAGCCUAUUACCACAGGUCACUACAUACUGGUGUCCACCCCUCUAGUCUAAUAAUCCCUCUUGCCUGCAGCUGUCCAAGGCCAUUAAAGCAUCCCUCUGGCCAUGUUGCCUGGUACCACUGAUGCUUUCUUGCAUCCCUCCCAGUGGAGUGGAGGCUCCUCGAAGANUUUGUAAGACAGUAUAAUGCCCUUUUUCUAACUCGCUGCUUCCCGACUCAUUUCUGGGGGAUGUGGGACGAGAGAGGGAUGACCCAGCCUUACGCUGAAGUGAAUAAAGAGCAGAUACGCACUUAGCA